rnacentral:rRNA from 1 species
AAGAGACAGCAGUCGCCGCGGUAAUACGGAGGAUCCAAGCGUUAUCCGGAAUCAUUGGGUUUAAAGGGUCCGUAGGCGGUCUUGUAAGUCAGUGGUGAAAGCCCAUCGCUCAACGUUGGAACGGCCAUUGAUACUGCAGGACUUGAAUUAUUGGGAAGUAACUAGAAUAUGUAGUGUAGCGGUGAAAUGCUUAGAGAUUACAUGGAAUACCAAUUGCGAAGGCAGGUUACUACCAAUUGAUUGACGCUGAUGGACGAAAGCGUGGGUAGCGAACAGGAUUAGAUACCCCAGUAGUCCCUGUCUCUUAUAA